GAUGAACGCUGGCGGCGUGCCUAAUACAUGCAAGUCGAGCGAACGGACGAGAAGCUUGCUCCUCUGACGUUAGCGGCGGACGGGUGAGUAACACGUGGAUAACCUACCUAUAAGACUGGGAUAACUUCGGGAAACCGGAGCUAAUACCGGAUGAUAUUUUGAACCGCAUGGUUCAAAAGUGAAAGACGGUUUUGCUGUCACUUAUAGAUGGAUCCGCGCUGCAUUAGCUAGUUGGUAAGGUAACGGCUUACCAAGGCAACGAUGCGUAGCCGACCUGAGAGGGUGAUCGGCCACACUGGAACUGAGACACGGUCCAGACUCCUACGGGAGGCAGCAGUAGGGAAUCUUCCGCAAUGGGCGAAAGCCUGACGGAGCAACGCCGCGUGAGUGAUGAAGGUCUUCGGAUCGUAAAACUCUGUUAUUAGGGAAGAACAUAUGUGUAAGUAACUGUGCACAUCUUGACGGUACCUAAUCAGAAAGCCACGGCUAACUACGUG
rnacentral:rRNA from 1 species